rnacentral:rRNA from 1 species
UACGUAGGGUGCGAGCGUUGUUCGGAAUUACUGGGCGUAAAGCGCGCGCAGGCGGCUAUCCAAGUCAGUGGUGAAAGCCCGGAGCUCAACUCCGGAACUGCCAUUGAAACUGUUUAGCUUGAGGAUGAGAGAGGUGAGUGGAAUUCCCAGUGUAGAGGUGAAAUUCGUAGAUAUUGGGAAGAACACCGGUGGCGAAGGCGGCUCACUGGCGCAUUACUGACGCUGAGGCGCGAAAGCUAGGGGAGCAAACGGG